GUAGGAUUGGGGGUGAUGGUGGUAGAAGUUGGGGUGACUUAGGAUGUGUGUGGGCCAGUGUCCUUGGGAUGCUUAGAGGUUUGGCUGGUGCUGAAUAGGCAUGUGUGUGCUUAGCUGGUCCCACUGGGUGUUGUUGCUAUGUGGGCGGGGCUGUGUGGAAUGGACCCUGGUGCUUGACCGUUGUUGGUGGAGGAAUGGUCCCUGUGGCACUGGAGUGGAUGGAGGAGAAAUGCGACAUCUGUGUGUGUGGAGGUAGGGGGUGAUGACAGUGUGAGUAGUUGGAGUCUGGGGAGGUGGAUAAGGUGGAACAUAUGAGUGGAAAGAGAAGUGUGGUCUAGGGGUUGUGAUGUGGUUGGAUAGGUGGUGGUCGUCUUGAAGGAUGUUGCAGUGUGGGACCUGUGGAAGAGAUGGGGUUACUCCUGUAGCUGCAGAGGAGUGUGUGAAAUUGAAAGAAGGUGUAGGUGGCAUUUCUGGCUGCUGGUGCUGAGAAUUGGGUGUGGAGUACAGGGUGCAGUUAUUCUGGAGUGGGGUUGGGGGUGAUGGUGGUAAAAGUUGGAGUGACUACAGUAUGGAGUGUCGAAGAAGCAUGUGUGUGUCGGGAUGUAGAGGUUUUGGCUGUGCUGAAUGAGCUGUGGGCUUGGCUGGUCCCACUGGUGGUCCCUGUCAUUGGUGGGGCUGUGUGUGUGGACCCUGUAGCCUUGACUGUUGUUGAUGAAGGAAUGAUGUCUGUUGGUGUUGAGUGGAUGGAAGUGGAAGUGGACGUCUGUGAGUGUGUAGGGAUGAUGACAGUGUGAGUAGUUGGAGUCACCAAGGAGGUGGAGAAAGGUGGAACGUGAGUGGGAAGUGUGGUCUGAGGGUGUGAUGGGGUUGGAUAGGUAGUGGUGGUCUUGAAGGAUGUUGUAGUCAUAGGACCUGUGGUAGUGCCAGGACUAUUCCCUGAAUGUGGGGAAUGUGUGGUGAAGGGUGUGUGUGGCUCACUGAUAGUGGCCGAGGUGGUGUGGGCCACAGGGGUGCUGGUUCCUGCACUGGUGGAUUUGGGAGUAAUGUUGGUGGUUGAAGUUGGGGUAAUUUCAGGAUGGUGUGUGGAAGAAGCAUGUGAGUAGAAGGAUAUGGAGGUUUUGGCUGUGCUGAAUGAGCUCGGGGCUUUGCUGGUCCCACUGGUGGUCACUGUCAUCGAUGGGGCUGUGUGCAUGGACCCUGUGGUCGUGAGCGCUGUUGGUGGAGGAAUGGUGCCUGUUGGCGUUGAGUGGAUGGAGGCAGAAGUAGACAAAUGUACGUGGGUAGGGGUGGUGACUGUGUGAGUAGUUGGAGUCACCAAGGAGGUGGAGAAAGGUGGAAUGUGAGUGGGAAAUGUGGUCUGAGGGUGUGGUGGGGUUGGAUAGGUAGUGGUGGUCUGGAAGGAUGUGGCAGUGAUAGGACCUGUGGAAGAGACGGGACUACUCCCUGUAGGUGGGGAGUAUGUGGUGAAGUGGUGGUUUG
rnacentral:lncRNA from 1 species